GGGAUUCCUGGAGAAGCUGCAGUGUGGGGAUGCUCUAGACCGAGUACUGCCCCCAGUGUCUUUCCACCUCCUUCUUCUGCAGGGGCAGCAGCGGCGGCAGCACUUGGCAGCGGCAACUUGCGGCUGCACCCCGGGCGAGCCCCCUAGGGUGGUGCUCCACUGAGAGGGGGGCUCAGUGCCCCGAAGAGGCUGCCCCUCCAAGAGCAGAGGCAGCAAGAGGACGAGUGUACCUCGCACCGGUCCACACAGGGAAAGCAGUAGGGACGGAGCCCGGCACCGCCUCCUGGUCCUCCCUCCAGGGCAACCAGGAAAACAAGAACUAGCAGGAGUUUGACAAACGCCGGGAUUCAUUCACCUGCCUAUUGCUUCAUUCCUGGAAUUUGCACUGCACCUGUCUAAUUCAGAAAAAAAAAAAUCUGCAAGAAAACAAAGACCCAAACACCCCAGAAUUCCCAAAGAAGAACUUGCGUCCUGCUGUUGUCACGAUGCCGACAUGUCAUGGUGUGCCUGAUGGACUGAACUCCCCUGAGCCCCAGCGUGCGAUUCUGCUUUUGGUGUGCAUGCAGACUCCAUCCAAGCAUGUGAUUCCGGAGUCCACUAUCCCCGUCAGCCAUCCUAGAUUCAGUGGGGUCAGGACACUGGGUCAGAACACUGGGUCAGAAAGCUAAGCUCCUCACUUGUGCCCCCGAGUGGAACUAGUUGGAGACUGCGCCUUGUUUCUUGCUUUCCAGACUGAGGCUAAGACCAGAAUUACGCUCUACUUUAUCCUGAACUCUAAAUUCAAAAAUGUUAAAAUAUCUUACAUCUCAAGGGUCCCUAACUAGAGACUCCAUAGACAUAUUGUUGUAUAUUUCCAGAACCAGAGCUCCGUAUUUACAGAAACCAGAACUUUAAAACCUUUCUAAUCAUGUUCUUUCAAAAGAGAUAACAUGACACCCUCCCUCUCAGUUCAUGCUGUCUUAUGCUUCCUGGCCCAAAUCAUCAAGGCUUAAUGAGUUUCGCAAUGCGUUUCUCUCCUUGGUCGAUGGACCUGCUCUCCACCUUAGUUACACCUCUUCUGAGGUUUUCCCCCUGUACCCACUAGAAUGUCCAAGCAGGCUUUUCUGUCUGGCUCUGGCAGACAGUUAGCUUUUAUUUCCCAGCAAGUGUCUAUCUCUGGAGUCAGACACAGAGCUUAGCUGGAGAACCUUUCCCCAUGUAAGUGAACAGAGCCAUGUUUAACUAGGUCUCCAGACGAAGCACCUCAUUGUGCUUUUUGCUGUGAAGAAGUGCUUCUGGUGCUUUAAUAUGUAUGCUCCAGAUCUAAAAUGCCUUCUAUUAGUUCUGCGAACCUCAUCCGUUUCCUCAUUUGUCACAGAAGGAUCUUGGCUAUCUGAUCUCUAAGGUCAGCGCCACCUCUGAGGUCGAUGAGGCAAUUAUUCAUUACAUUUGGCAGAUCCCUUCCUCUUUCUAAAACUCAAAUCUCUGGAAUCAGAACAAAAAUGAUCCCAGGCAUAAUUUUUUCUAAUAGGAUUUCUCUCUUCCUAGUCAUAUACUCAUUUUUUAGAAAAUCAUAGGAGAGGUACCAAUGCAAAUUAGAGAUAAGUAUAUAUCUGAUGUUUAUAAAUCACAAAUUACCAACUUUAAGACCAGAGAGGUUACUAAAACUUCCUAAGUUUGCGACAUUUUAUAUAUCAGUACCAUUUUCCGUUCUGUCAAUUCUUUACUGCCUUAUUUGGAGUUAAAUACAUACAUAGCUUUAGAUUUUCAGAAUCCUGUAGAUCAGAUGAAACAUAAUUGAGAUUCCCAUUCCUCUGUUUUUGCUUUGCAUAGUGGCUGCUAUGUGUAUAAACCAUUCAAUGUGAGCCUAUUUACAAGAGUGUUAAGUGUGAGGAAUAUUUGUAUCCUAAAGCUUAUACUCCAGGAUUGGCCAUAAAUUAGUAAAGUUUAAAGA
rnacentral:lncRNA from 1 species